UCCCCGUUACCGGGGCAGUCUGAUUAGAAAAAUCCAACUAAUCAUAAGGGUUGCGCUCGUUGAUGGACUUAACCAAACAUCUCACGACACGAGCUGACGACGGCCAUGCAACACCUGUCACUAGAUUCCCGAAGGCACUCACUGCUUUCGCAGUAAUUCCUAGGAUGUCAAGCCCUGGUAAGGUUCUUCGCUUAGCCUCGAAUUAAACAACACGCUCCACCGCUUGUGCGGGUCCCCGUCAAUUCCUUUGAGUUUUAACCUUGCGGCCGUACUCCCCAGGCGGUGGGCUUAAUGCGUUAGCUGCGGCACGGAAAGGGUUGAAGACCUCCCCACACCUAGCACCCAACGUUUACGGCUGGGACUAC
rnacentral:misc_RNA from 1 species